ACUCCUACGGGAGGCAGCAGUGGGGAAUAUUGCACAAUGGGCGCAAGCCUGAUGCAGCCAUGCCGCGUGUAUGAAGAAGGCCUUAGGGUUGUAAAGUACUUUCAGCGGGGAGGAAGGUGAUAAAGUUAAUACCUUUAUCAAUUGACGUUACCCGCAGAAGAAGCACCGGCUAACUCCGUGCCAGCAGCCGCGGUAAU
rnacentral:rRNA from 1 species